rnacentral:snRNA from 1 species
UAGGAAAUUUCUGCAAGUCUCUG